AAUAGAUACCCGGGUAGUCCACGCCCUAAACGAUGCGAACUGGAUGUUGGGUUCAACUUGGAACCCAGUAUCGAAGCUAACGCGUUAAGUUCGCCGCCUGGGGAGUACGGUCGCAAGACUGAAACUCAAAGGAAUUGACGGGGGCCCGCACAAGCGGUGGAGUAUGUGGUUUAAUUCGAUGCAACGCGAAGAACCUUACCUGGUCUUGACAUCCACGGAACUUUCCAGAGAUGGAUUGGUGCCUUCGGGAACCGUGAGACAGGUGCUGCAUAGCUGUCGUCAGCUCGUGUCGUGAGAUGUUGGGUUAAGUCCCGCAACGAGCGCAACCCUUGUCCUUAGUUGCCAGCACGUAAUGGUGGGAACUCUAAGGAGACCGCCGGUGACAAACCGGAGGAAGUGGGGAUGACGUCAAGUCAUCAUGGCCCUUACGACCAGGGCUACACACGUACUACAAUGGGAAGGACAGAGGGCUGCAAUCCCGCGAGGGUGAGUCAAUCCCAGAAACCUUCUCUCAGUCCGGAUCGGAGUCUGCAACUCGACU
rnacentral:rRNA from 1 species